rnacentral:rRNA from 1 species
GAUCAUGGCUCAGGAUGAACGCUAGCUACAGGCUUAACACAUGCAAGUCGAUGGGCAGCAUGGUCUUAGCUUGCUAAGGCCGAUGGCGACCGGCGCACGGGUGAGUAACACGUAUCCAACCUGCCGUCUACUCUUGGACAGCCUUCUGAAAAGGAAGAUUAAUACAAGAUGGCAUCAUGAGUCCGCAUGUUCACAUGAUUAAAGGUAUUCCGGUAGACGAG